AAUGCUCGCGCUCUGAGUGCGAGCGAGAUGGCGAGGUUGGUGGCGCUGCUAUUAUGCAGCUUUCUUCUUCUCGGAGCUCUAACCCUAACCCUAAUUCAGGCUAAGAAAUCCAAGGUGAAUUUGAUGGAAUUUUCCCACAAGGUUUAUUUCGAUAUUGAGAGCUGGUUGAAUUGUUAUGGGUCUCUUUUGCAAUACAGUCCCCAAAACUGCUGGUAUGCUUAACAUGUUUUAUGUGCUGUUGAUUGUUGGUUGCGCGCCUGCGGAGGAUUUCUGGGCUUGGCGCGCAGGGGAGAUAGGGAUUGGUAACAGUAGAAACCUCUCCAUUACAUGGGGAGCAUAUUCCACAGGAUUUGUAACAGUAGAAACCUCUCCAUCACAGUAGAAACCCAUGGGAACGAAAUGGUCAAAGAAUCUGUUUAUGGCGAGACUUUUUGUGGUGAAUACCUCAAGAUCAGGCAUACGGGGACAUGUAGCUCUUUCUCGAUACUGAUUUCAAUUUCUUCAGGGGCUUUACCCAGUGGGUUGGCUUACUCACUGUAUACCUCUAUUUCCCAAGGACUUGGUAUCAAUGGCAAAGGCCGACAAAGACGCCAAGUCUUUCAUCACAAUGGUAACAACCAGCUGGUGAGUACGGAAUUUUUCAGAAUCAAAUACACCAAUAUGAAUCCCAAUGUGCUUUGUCUUUGUGGUUCUGUAUGUGUAGGGAUGAAUUAUGCAUUAGGAUCAGGAUUGGGGUUGGAUUAUAUAUAUAUAGACAUGGGUUUGUAGAUACAGAUAUUUGGCUUGGCUGCAUUUUUUUUUUAAAUUUGGAAUGUAGAUGACGCGCACUAUAUAUACGCACACUAUAUAUACAUAUAUAUAA